GCUUGUGGCUCAGUGGCAGAGUGCUUGCCUAGCAUGUGUGAGGCACUGGGUUCGAUUCUCAGCACUGCA
rnacentral:tRNA from 1 species